UGGGGAAUAUUGCACAAUGGAGGGAACUCUGAUGCAGCGACGCCGCGUGAGUGAUGAAGGAAUUCGUUUCGUAAAACUCUGAUCUAUGGGAAGAAAAGGACUGUACCAUAGGAGAAAGCUCCGGCUAAAUACGUGCCAGCAGCCGCGGUAAUACGUAUGGAGCGAGCGUUGUCCGGAAUUAUUGGGCGUAAAGGGUGCGCAGGCGGCUUUACAAGUUGGAUGUGAAAUAUUGUGGCUCAACCACAAACGUGCAUCCAAAACUGCAAAGCUUGAGUUAAGGAGAGGUAAGUGGAAUUCCUGGUGUAGCGGUGGAAUGCGUAGAUAUCAGGAGGAAUACCGGUGGCGAAGGCGACUUACUGGACUUAAACUGACGCUCAGGCACGAAAGCGUGGGGAGCAAACAGG
rnacentral:rRNA from 1 species